CUCCCCGCGGUAGACUUCAAAUACUCUUUGUCCUGCCCCUGCUUGGCGAAAUUUACCGAAAUUAUCUACCUAUCCCGCUGGAGUGGGAGCCGGGGGAGAGCUGGAACCGCGUCUCUGCUGCUCACCUUUGUGUCCUUAGCUCCUUCGCAUGGGGUCCGACCGCAACACGUGCGCUGGAUAAACGCUUGUUAACUGGAGCUCCCUCUUUGCCCACUAGCAGGGCAUUAGCUGGUGCUGAAGACAGUGGCUGCUUGGCGAGCCUGGAUCUCCAAGUGACCCCCUCAGCAACUCCUGAUGAACAGGACUGAAGCCAAUAUUAAAGCAAGUCAACCAAAGGUUCUCUGGUGUAGACAAGACAGCAAAAGGACAGACUACCUUGUGGAACCUAGCAUUGUUCUCCUUCUGCAGCACUAAGUAACAUUUGUUCUCCGUUAAGAUCUUUGCAAACCACACACAAGAAUUGCUGGUCAUCCUGCCAAUAGAUGCUGCUCACAGAACCAAAUUUCCUGUGCUGAAUUGUCACUCAUGGGCUUGAGAGUAGGAGACUGGAGACCAAGGUGGCUAGAAUCCAGUUGGGCCUGAUGUCUCCCUGUUGAAAGGGCUCCUUGUGGAAUGAAUAGCACAUGGCUCCUGUGGUGGAUCUGAUAGUGGCAUAGCACCAAGUGAUGCAGGCCUGCCAGGGGCCACAGACACAGAAGAUGCUCCCGGGGUCCCCCAUGUACUCCAGACACACUGCAGGCCACCUCUCCCAGCAGGUUGCCAGUCAUGGGCCCCAUCAUCAUGACUUCUGUCCAAGGUGUGCUCGGAAAUCUCUUCCUUAACUGUGACUUUCUGACAGGUGGAGGAUGUGGUCAGGAGUGGGAAAAGGAUUCGAGACGGGAAGAGGGAGGGGUUCAGGAUGAAGAGAGAUAAUCUGUGCCACAGAUGCUGGCCCUGCAGUUAGCUCCCACCUAGUCCGUGCACACACAUUCUAAUCCCCUCCCAUUCCUUUACAUGCUGCGGCCAGAGAGGCCUUUCUCAAAGUGGAAGUCUCAUCCUCACUUCUCUGGUUACAGUGCUGGGCCAUGGUAACUUACAAGGCUUAGCAGGAACUGUCUGCGCACUCCCCCUUCCUGCCCACUACCUUGUUUCCCUCCAGUUGCGAGAGAAAACAUUGAUUGAGCAUUAACUAUGUGCCAGGCUUGUCCUAAGUCCUUUGCAUGUAUUCACUCAAACAAUCCUCACAACAUUCCUAUCACAUCUCCCAUUUCACAGUGAGGGUUCUAAAGCACGUAGUGGGUGAGGAACUUGUCCAGGGUCACACAACUAAGUGGGGGUGGAGAAACAUCAAAUCUAGGUGGUCCAGGUGGUGGCCAGAACCCAUCAGCACCUCACUACAGCUGCCUCCAGUUUCUCGCUCUAGGAAAUACUCUUCCCUGUCAACUCCUGUUGUCCUCUGGGCUCAGUUGACAUGUCAUCUCCUUGAGGAGGACAUCCUGAGAUGCUCCCCGACUAGGGUGGGCACCCACUUCCACACUCCAAAUGCCUAUUUGACCUGUGUAUCGCUGCAUCCCCACUGCCUGGCAGAUAGCAGGCCCCUAAUAAAUAUGAUUUGAGCAAAUAAAUAUAGUUCUUCAAAAAAUAGGGAGGACUUCUUGCUUCAGGUAAUGGUAGGCUAGGACAUUUGGACCAACCCUCCUGCAGAAAAUAGCCAUUUAUUUUGAUGCAAUAUAUCUGGCUAUGACUAGAGAUUUCAAAUAUUUGGAGGGCUAUUAUGUGAAGAACUAAACUUACUCUUUGUGACAUAGAGGUCAGAAAUUGGUCGUUUCCAUAGAGUAUGAGAGAGACAGAAUUGUGCUCAUCAUAAGUAUCUUUUUUAAAAGUUAGACUUAAUAAAAUGGGCUGCCUUGGUAGGUGGUGAGUUCUCUGUCACGAAAGAGAUUCAGCCACUUGCUCUGAGAAAGCAUGGAGAAUAUCAACAUUGUAAGGGUCGACCACCUCAUCUCUGAGGCCCCCUCCUCACUUAGGUUGCCAUUGCAGGUGGAACACUGGGCUGAGUGUCAAAGAACCUGGGUUCCACAAGCUGUGCGACCAUGGCUGGUUGUUUUGGAUCUCAUUCCUAAUAUCUGUUAGUUAAGCUGACCCGUCAAUACUGACCCACUUCACAGAGUUAUGAAGGGAUUAAAUUAGGUAUUACAUGUAAAUCUGUUUUGUUUGCUUUUUGUUGUUCUUUUUUGUUUUGCUUUUUUCUUUGCAUUAUGAAAUCCCAAGUCAACUUUUUCCAUUCUUUUAUUUUUUUAAAAAUUGACAUCAUCAUUAUAACCACAAAAUAAUUUUUAAAAUGGAAAAAAAAAACUCACCUGCAACCCCACAAUCUAAUACAAUAAUCAUACUUUUUUCCCUUUAUUCUCCUUUAUUGUGACCAAGGAUGACUUUGGGCAUUGCUGUGAGGAACUAUUUCGUUUAACACCCUACUACCUGAACAUGAUGCGUACUCAGCCUUUCACCACCCCCCAAGUAGCUACACAUGAUGUGAUAAUAGUAUUGGUGGUGGUUUUAGAGAGUUGGAGAGAAAACUGAAGUUGGAUUUGGGUAAAAGAAAAAAGAGUGGGAAUUAUUUUUUCUCCAUUCUAAAGCCCAUAAAGCAAUGUUAAUUGUUCCCACCCCUCUGCUAUUCUGUCUCCUCAGGUACUGUGUGCAGAAAUGUGAUUGAGAUUCAAGUCAGGGCCUCUCUGCCCUUUUCCCUCCAGAAACAAAACCAAGAUAAUUUAUCCUGAACACGGUGAAAAAAGGAAGGGAGGGAGGAGAAAAAGUCCGGGUCUCACCUGGGAUUCUCUGUCUCCUGCAACAUGAAGGAUUUAGCCUGGGAGGAGGUGGUGAGAACUCUGGGAGAGAAAAAAGAAGGAAAGAAUAGUUUUACCCAUGCUGAAGUUAAUUUAAACCUUCACCUAGAGAAGCAAAAAAAAAAAACCCACACUUUCCCAUUUUGUGCCUCCCUUCCUAGAGUUUUAGCCAAAGGUUUAGCUAAGUAAUUGGUUUUACCAGCGCACUCACUCCUCCUAUCCCAAGUCUGUUUGACUCCCUCCCCAUCAUCCUCCUCACCUCUUUUCAGGCAGGGUGGGGAUAGCAGCAGGAGGAGAUUUUGGGAGCCUGGCAACUCCUGCAAGGACCGCAGGACAGCCCCUCUGUGGGGAUGCGUGGUGCCCCAUCUGCCGCCCUUCUGAAGAAUGCACUGCCUUCACUUUUUACUGUGUUAGAGUCCAUCCAGACUGUUCUAUCCAAAAAAGUUUCUUUUUCCCCCACAGGCAAUCAGGAAAUGAUUCCUUUCCCGACUGCUUCUGUCUAGUGCCUGGGAAUCUUGAGUCAAUCCCUCAGUAAGUCAGUGACUAGGGAAAUCCCUCUCUGAGCCUCCCAGUUCAUGUUGCUUAGGGAACCUGAUAUUUUCGUGAAACCUGCCUACACAUGGGCAGCCCAACAGCAGAACAAAUGGUGGUGACCAAAGUGAACAAAGAAGUAUAGUUGUGCCAGCUUCGUAGUUGCCCAUGUGGACAAGUCAGCAGGAUCAGGACACGAGGAAGAGUAAAUGUGAGACAGUCAAUGUGACUUCUGCGAUAAACAGAUUUUUAAACCCCGAAAUUUUGCAAAAUUUUGGUGAAACCUGAACUUUCUUCGUUGCAUAUACUGGCACUAUCUGUACCAUCAUACAACUGUCUCACAUUAAAGCUAUUUUUCUUGGGCACUGAUGAGUAAGGUUGGUAUAAGUUCCUCAGAUCAACAAAAACCCAUUUUCCUGUAAGUCUUACAUUUAGUAUUUAAGGAACUAAAACUUAAAUACAUUUUGUGAAAUGGUUGACACUUCACUGAUAAUGAUUUAUUGCUUGGAUUAAUAAAUUUUCCAAAAGUUGUCUUAUGUAGAAUAUGGUUUGCAACCAGCAGAACCAUUAAUCUAUACUGCAAUGAUAUGCACUAUGUAUAAUUGUUUAAAAGCCUCUACUUAAUGAUGUAAAAUGCUCUAUUUAAUUACACAUUUGGGUAAACUGUAUACUAACAUCUGAUGGCAUUUUUCCACUGUUUGUUGCUUUUUUCAAAUACUUUAUUGUACAAAGCUGUUCUUAAUAUUUUUCAAGUUUUUUUCUUUGAAUUUUGCUAAUGUUUUCCUUGAAUUAUGAGCACUGACAGAAUGUGCUUAGCACUUUUGGCUAUUCACACAGCUUUUGAGCAUGAUUUGCAUCCAAUAUUUACAUUGCUAGCAAUAAUAAGCCAUCUGUGAGUUUUGUCAAAA
rnacentral:sRNA from 1 species